UACGUAGGGUCCGAGCGUUGUCCGGAAUCACUGGGCGUAAAGAGCUUGUAGGCGGUUCGUCGCGUCGAUUGUGAAAACUUGGGGCUCAACUCCAAGCUUGCAGCCGAUACGGGCGGACUAGAGUACUUCAGGGGAGACUGGAAUUCCUGGUGUAGCGGUGAAAUGCGCAGAUAUCAGGAGGAACACCGGUGGCGAAGGCGGGUCUCUGGGAAGUAACUGACGCUGAGAAGCGAAAGCAUGGGUAGCAAACAGG
rnacentral:rRNA from 1 species